UACAGAGGGGGCAAGCGUUGUUCGGAAUUACUGGGCGUAAAGGGCGCGUAGGCGGCCUGUUAAGUCGAACGUGAAAUCCCUGGGCUCAACCCAGGAACUGCGUCCGAUACUGGCAGGCUUGAGUUCGGGAGAGGGAUGCGGAAUUCCAGGUGUAGCGGUGAAAUGCGUAGAUAUCUGGAGGAACACCGGUGGCGAAGGCGGCAUCCUGGACCGAUAUUGACGCUGAGGCGCGAAAGCCAGGGGAGCAAACGGG
rnacentral:rRNA from 1 species